rnacentral:lncRNA from 1 species
GAAAACUGUGGCCUAGUGAAGUUAAAUAACUUGCCUCCAAAUUAUGCAGCUGGUGGAGGAUGGGACCAGUAUUCCUGCCAGGCUGUGGGUUUGGAUCUGAGCUCCUAUCUGUGACACUAAUUUCAUGCCCUUUGAAGGAGGGCAGCAGAAAAGAAGUGAGAGAAAUAGCCAUGGUCAUAUUAUUUGGGGAGUUGUUAACG